GUUGGUGCGCCCCACGCUGACCGUGUCACGCCAUGUGGGGGCUGUUGGCUAGCUCUAUCCCCUUCCCUCCCAAACCUUCUCCGCAUCUUGCGCUAACCGAAGCUGGGAGCUGUGAUUCGCACCCCCUCCGCACGGACUCUUCCAACCGGAUCCUCCUCCCCCUCGAGCAUAAAUACCCAUGCUGGGACCCCUCUAGUCCAUCGCAUGGGGGUCGAUAAGGAACCGCACCAAAGCAGAGGGCCACUGUGAACGCAUGUGGGAGAACUCGUGCCACCGCCGCCAUCCCUUGCCUCCACCGCCGUUCAGAGGAUGCGGUGCAGUCGAGGACGUCCGACCGUGCGAAUGGAUCAGGCGGGGAGGAUAAUUGGUGUGCAUGAGACAUCGGGAUGGCCGGACUUCUUCGUCGUCGCACCAACACUACCGCAAUGCCACUUUGUGUAGUCAUCGGGAUUAUAUACUGAGCAAUUCUCGAUAAGUGAGCUUCCUCCAAAUCCGCCUUGUUCCCCUCUAUGUAUAGUACUGUUUUUAUCAGGAUUAGACCUCGGGUUGGCUAGAUGGCUCAUCGCUGGCGAUGGUCCACCGGGGUGUCGCGUGCUCCGCCGUCCUAGUGACCGUGGGCGUGAGUGAUGAACACAUGACGUUGAUCCAGCCAUGGGCGGAUCGGAUUAGAUGAAGCGUAACACUUCAACUUAGGGCUUGUUCGGUUCUACCCCAAUCCAUAUGGAUUGAGGGGGAUUGAGGGGGUUUUAAUUCCUAGUAAGUCAAAAUCCCCUCCAAUCCGUAUCAAUCCCCUCUAAUCCAUAUGAAUUGAAAAUAACCGAACAAGCCCUUAAGUGGAUGUGUGUCGCCGGAUUGUGGCUGGCGAUCUAGAUCUGAUCAUGGCUAAUUAAAUCGUGGCCGCGUGUUUUAGAUCAUGCGGUACAUAUCA